rnacentral:tRNA from 1 species
GCCCUGGUGGCUCAAUGAUUAAGCCCUUGGCUGCUAGCCAAAAGGAUGGUGGUUCGAAACCAUCCAAAAGCC